rnacentral:rRNA from 1 species
UACAGAGGUCCCAAGCGUUACUGAGAAUCACUGGGUUUAAAGGGUGCGUAGGUGGUCCGUUAAGUCAGUUGUGAAAUCCCCGGGCCUCAACCCGGGAACUGCUUCUGAUACUGGCGGACUUGAGGCCAGUAGGGGUCACUAGAACUGACGGUGGAGCGGUGAAAUGCGUAGAUAUCGUCAGGAAUGCCGGUGGUGAAGACGGGUGACUGGGCUGGUUCUGACACUGAGGCACGAAAGCGUGGGGAGCGAACGGGG